rnacentral:rRNA from 1 species
CUACCAAGGCCACGAUCAGUAGCCGACCUGAGAGGGUGAUCGGCCACAUUGGGACUGAGACACGGCCCAGACUCCUACGGGAGGCAGCAGUGGGGAAUAUUGCACAAUGGGGGGAACCCUGAUGCAGCGACGCCGCGUGAGGGAAGAAGGUUUUCGGAUUGUAAACCUCUGUCUUGUGGGACGAUAAUGACGGUACCCUGUGAGGAAGCACCGGCUAACUAC